rnacentral:RNase_P_RNA from 1 species
CAAGUAAACCAGAUGAUCGCUCCCCACUUUCUAUGUUUUAUGACUGUGUUAUCAAGUUAGAAUUUCAGUAGCACCAAUUUACAUGAAGCAUAGAAAGUGGGGAGAGGAAAGUCCGAACACCACAAAUCCGCCCCGAACAUAGUUGAGGGGCGAGAUGAAAAAGGGCAACUCCUAACCGGAGCCGAGAGCAGCAAAAGGGCAGAAGUUCUUAAGACUUCUGAAUUUUUGCCAAGCUUAGGGCAAGUGCAACAGAAAACAUACCGCCAAACCCAGCCGCUUUCGAGCGGCUGGGCGGUAAGGUUGAAAACGUGGGCCCCGUUUAUCGGGGAUAGUCCGCCUUCGCCCCUCAACUACGUUCGGGGCUACGGCGUGACAAUGUAAGAGCCCACGCGCGAAUGACCGGAGACGGUCUGCGUGGUAAACCCCUGCCCGGUGCAAUGCCAAAUUAGGUAGGCAGCUUGAGGCGGCUGGCAACAGCCGUCCCAGAUAGAUGAUCAUCCGCCUACGCCCUUCCGACUACGCCUUACGGCUUCGUCGGACAAAGUCGGGCUUCGGCGGACAAGUCCCCCUCCACUAAGUCGGACUUGUCAAACGAAAUCCGAAGAGCGCGGGCAGACAGAAUUCGGCUUACGAGUUUGCUUGGACA